rnacentral:rRNA from 1 species
UACGUAGGGUGCAAGCGUUGUCCGGAAUUAUUGGGCGUAAAGAGCUCGUAGGCGGUCUGUCGCGUCGGCUGUGAAAACCCGGGGCUCAACCCCGGGCCUGCAGUCGAUACGGGCAGACUAGAGUGCGGUAGGGGAGACUGGAAUUCCUGGUGUAGCGGUGAAGUGCGCAGAUAUCAGGAGGAACACCGGUGGCGAAGGCGGGUCUCUGGGCCGUAACUGACGCUGAGGAGCGAAAGCAUGGGGAGCGAACAGG